rnacentral:rRNA from 1 species
CCUACGGGAGGCAGCAGUGAGGAAUAUUGGUCAAUGGGCGCGAGCCUGAACCAGCAAAGUAGCGUGAAGGAUGACUGCCCUAUGGGUUGUAAACUUCUUUUAUAAAGGAAUAAAACGAGGCACGUGUGCCUUUUUGCAUGUAAUUUAUGAAUACGGAUCGGCUAACUCCGUGCCAGCAGCCGAGGUAAUACGGAGGAUCCGAGCGUUAUCCGGAUUUAUUGGGUUUAAAGGGAGCGUAGAUGGGUUGUUAAGUCAGUUGUGAAAGUUUGCGGCUCAACCGUAAAAUUGCAAUUGAUACUGGCAUUCUAGAGUACAGUAGAGGUAAGCGGAAUUCGUGGUGUAGCGGUGAAAUGCUUAGAUAUCACGAAGAACCCCGAUUGCGAAGGCAGCUUACUAAACUGUGACUGACAUUGAUGCUCGAAAGUGUGGGUAUCAAACAGGAUUAGAUACCCCGGUAGUC